UUAAGUUCAGCGGGUAUUCCUACCUGAUCCGAGGUCAACCUUGAGAAGGGGGGUGUUUAACGGCAAGAACCCGCCGCACGUCCAAAGCGAGAUGUUUUACUACGCUCGGUGUGACAGCGAGCCCGCCACUGUUUUUCAGGACCUGCGGCAGCCGCAGGGCCCCAACACAAGCCUAGGGCUUGAUGGUUGAAAUGACGCUC
rnacentral:misc_RNA from 1 species